rnacentral:rRNA from 1 species
AUUCCAACUCCAAGACCGUAUAUUAAAGAUGCUGCGGUUAACAAACUCGUAGUCGGAUUUCUAUCUAGGAAGGUUAACUCGCCGCAAGAUUGUACGUUGAUGUUCCUCAAACUUCGUCAGAAACUCGUGCUGCACUUAACUGUGUGGUACGAUGUUCUGAAUUUUUACCUUGAGGAACGUAGAAUAUUUCAGGCAGGCUACCCAGCUUGAAUACAUUAGCAUGGAAUGAUCUCGGGUCGAUUUCGUUGGUUCUAAAGCUGAGGUGAUAAACAAUGAGAACUGGCGAAAGUAUUCGUACUUGACAGUGAGGAGUGAAAUCCGCUGAUCUCUCAAAGACGAUCGGAGGCGAAAGCAUUUGUCAAGGAUGUUUUCAUUA